rnacentral:rRNA from 1 species
AUUGAACGCUGGCGGCAGGCCUAACACAUGCAAGUCGAGCGGAUGAAGGGAGCUUGCUCCUGGAUUCAGCGGCGGACGGGUGAGUAAUGCCUAGGAAUCUGCCUGGUAGUGGGGGAUAACGUCCGGAAACGGGCGCUAAUACCGCAUACGUCCUGAGGGAGAAAGUGGGGGAUCUUCGGACCUCACGCUAUCAGAUGAGCCUAGGUCGGAUUAGCUAGUUGGUGGGGUAAAGGCCUACCAAGGCGACGAUCCGUAACUGGUCUGAGAGGAUGAUCAGUCACACUGGAACUGAGACACGGUCCAGACUCCUACGGCAGGCAGCAGUGGGGAAUAUUGGACAAUGGGCGAAAGCCUGAUCCAGCCAUGCCGCGUGUGUGAAGAAGGUCUUCGGAUUGUAAAGCACUUUAAGUUGGGAGGAAGGGCAGUAAGUUAAUACCUUGCUGUUUUGACGUUACCAACAGAAUAAGCACCGGCUAACUUCGUG